rnacentral:rRNA from 1 species
ACGAACGCUGGCGGCGUGCUUAACACAUGCAAGUCGCACGGAAAGGCCCUGCUUUUGUGGGGUGCUCGAGUGGCGAACGGGUGAGUAACACGUGAGUAACCUGCCCUUGACUUUGGGUUAACUUCAGGAAACUGGGGCUAAUACCGGAUAGGAGCUCCUGCUGCAUGGUGGGGGUUGGAAAGUUUCGGCGGUUGGGGAUGGACUCGCGGCUUAUCAGCUUGUUGGUGGGGUAGUGGCUUACCAAGGCUUUGACGGGUAGCCGGCCUGAGAGGGUGACCGGCCACAUUGGGACUGAGAUACGGCCCAGACUCCUACGGGAGGCAGCAGUGGGGAAUAUUGCACAAUGGGCGGAAGCCUGAUGCAGCAACGCCGCGUGCGGGAUGACGGCCUUCGGGUUGUAAACCGCUUUCGCCUGUGACGAAGCGUGAGUGACGGUAAUGGGUAAAGAAGCACCGGCUAACUACGUG